rnacentral:rRNA from 1 species
UACGGGGGGGGCAAGCGUUGUUCGGAAUUACUUGGCGUAAAGGGCUCGUAGGCGGCCCACUAAGUCAGAUGUGAAAUCCCCAGGCUCAACCUGGGAACUGCAUCUGAUACUGGUGGGCUUGAAUUCGGGAGAGGGAUGCAGAAUUCCAGGUGUAGCGGUGAAAUGCGUAGAUAUCUGGAGGAAUACCGGUGGCGAAGGCGGCAUCCUGGACCGACAUUGACGCUGAGGAGCGAAAGCUAGGGGAGCAAACGGG